GAAAGGCGGGCUAAACCCGCGUACAUGCCACCGGGGCAUCCCGGAGGCAGGAAAGGCUUCGGCCGGACAGGGAUGGGCAUGCGGCGCAUUAGGCAGUAGGCGGGGUAACGGCCCACCUAACCGACGAUGCGUAGGGGUUCUGAGAGGAAGGUCCCCCACACUGGUACUGAGACACGGACCAGACUCCUACGGGAGGCAGCAGUGAGGAAUAUUGGUCAAUGGUCGGGAGACUGAACCAGCCAAGCCGCGUGAGGGAUGAAGGUACAGAGUAUCGUAAACCUCUUUUGUCAGGGAACAAAGGCGGGGACGUGUCCCCGGAUGAGUGUACCUGAAGAAAAAGCAUCGGCUAACUCCGUGCCAGCAGCCGCGGUAAUACGGAGGAUGCGAGCGUUAUCCGGAUUUAUUGGGUUUAAAGGGUGCGCAGGCGGUCUGUUAAGUCAGCGGUCAAAGCCCGGGGCUCAGCCCCGGCCCGCCGUUGAAACUGGCAGUCUCGAGUUGGAGAGAAGUAUGCGGAAUGCGCGGUGUAGCGGUGAAAUGCAUAGAUAUCGCGCAGAACUCCGAUUGCGAAGGCAGCAUGCCGGCUCCACACUGACGCUGAGGCACGAAAGCGUGGGUAUCGAACAGGAUUAGAUACCCUGGUAGUCC
rnacentral:rRNA from 1 species